GAAACAAUUCAUUCAUGAAACGAAAAAAAGAAAAGAAAAAGACAGAAUCUAGAUUGAAAA
rnacentral:ribozyme from 1 species